CACAAAUAUCAAGUGUAGCUUGAUUUUUAC
rnacentral:piRNA from 1 species